UCCCUCAUAGCUCAGUCGGUAAAGAAUCUGCCUGCAAUGUAGGAGACCCGGGUUCGAUUCCUGGGUUGGGAA
rnacentral:tRNA from 1 species